GGCUCAGAACGAACGCUGGCGGCAGGCUUAACACAUGCAAGUCGAGCGCCCCGCAAGGGGAGCGGCAGACGGGUGAGUAACGCGUGGGAAUCUACCCAUCUCUACGGAAUAACGCAUGGAAACGUGUGCUAAUACCGUAUACGUCCUUCGGGAGAAAGAUUUAUCGGAGAUGGAUGAGCCCGCGUUGGAUUAGCUAGUUGGUGGGGUAAAGGCCUACCAAGGCGACGAUCCAUAGCUGGUCUGAGAGGAUGAUCAGCCACACUGGGACUGAGACACGGCCCAGACUCCUACGGGAGGCAGCAGUGGGGAAUAUUGGACAAUGGGCGCAAGCCUGAUCCAGCCAUGCCGCGUGAGUGAUGAAGGCCCUAGGGUUGUAAAGCUCUUUCACCGGUGAAGAUAAUGACGG
rnacentral:rRNA from 1 species